rnacentral:lncRNA from 1 species
GCAAACAUGUGUCGGUUUUCUUUUGCUUAAAAUUUUCCAUGUUAAACUAAGAAGGGCCAGAUUUUGGCACAGAACGAUGAAACAUUAGCUUUAGACUAUAAUCUCCAAUUUCUUUUAAAAAUUUCUAUAUAUUAUUAUAAACCUCUAAAGUACAUAAAAAGAAAAAUUUACUAGACUUCUUAAAAAAUGUUUCAAGCCCUAAAUCUGAUAUCUGACCCUAAAACUAAGAGACAAUGACGCUUUUACAUAAAACCAAAACGAGUGUGCUUAUGAGCUUAUCCUAAACUUAUAUAAUAUAAGCUAUAUUUCUUUAUCAUUCGAAAAAUCCAUUACAGAUUCAUUGUUGCCAGCUUCUUAUACAGCAAAGGUGUAUAAAUAAAUAAUGUACUUUUGACAAAAAAAAAUAAAAAUAAAUAAAUAAUGUACCAAUAUAUAAAAUAAUUGCAUAUUUAAAUCAUAAAUUUAGCUGAAGCCCGCAGAUUCGUUAUGGAUGCAACGCAGCCACCACAAGGAUGGCCGAAACCACCAUAUACUGGCCAAUUUAAUGGUAUCCCACUCUUUUGAGUAUAUCGAGUUAAUUUACUCUUUUGAUUUCCUUUAAUAGACCAAUCUUAUAAAAUAAAAUCUGAGAAAAAUUAUAAUUAAAUUUUGAUGCAGAGAUUAUAUAUGUAAAAAACUAUGUGUCACACUGUAGGAUUAGUGCUUAGCCAUUUCGCUAGGCUUGGACUUUUAGCUUACAACGAAAUAUUAUGCCACUUUAGUCUUCUUCAACUUUGCCUUUUGUUUCCUUUGAAAAGGCUUCUUAUCAUUAUUACUAAUCUUUGUU